rnacentral:rRNA from 1 species
GAUGAACGCUGGCGGCGUGCCUAAUACAUGCAAGUCGAGCGAACAGACGAGGAGCUUGCUCCUCUGACGUUAGCGGCGGACGGGUGAGUAACACGUGGAUAACCUACCUAUAAGACUGGGAUAACUUCGGGAAACCGGAGCUAAUACCGGAUAAUAUAUUGAACCGCAUGGUUCAAUAGUGAAAGACGGUUUUGCUGUCACUUAUAGAUGGAUCCGCGCCGCAUUAGCUAGUUGGUAAGGUAACGGCUUACCAAGGCAACGAUGCGUAGCCGACCUGAGAGGGGGAUCGGCCACACGGGAACUUAGACACGGUCCAGACUCCUACGGGAGGCAGCAGUAGGGAAUCUUCCGCAAUGGGCGAAAGCCUGACGGAGCAACGCCGCGUGAGUGAUGAAGGUCUUCGGAUCGUAAAACUCUGUUAUUAGGGAAGAACAAAUGUGUAAGGAACUAUGCACGUCUUGACGGUACCUAAUCAGAAAGCCACGGCUAACUACGUG